UCUGAGAGAACAGGGACUUUAUUUUUGUCUCUGCUGUAUCCCCAGUUCUAGGAAUUGUAGCCACUCAAUAAAUAAUGUUGAAUGAAGGGAGGAGAGGAAACACUAAACCUAGUCUGGUCCAUGCAGGAAGAGUACUCAGGCCAAAGAGAACUUAAGGCCACGUCUCUCUUACCCUUGGUGGCAGGAAACCAAGGAGACAAGGGCCAGUGGCGUCUGGGAUAUCUGCUCGGCCACACCCUGGGUCCACCCGUACCUCCUCCUGGAGAGCUCUGUCUGCUUGCUGGCUUGGAGAAUGCCCUUGGAAACUGGGACUUCCAACUCCCCACUCAGGGGAAGAGUCCCCAUGGCCUUACUGUAAUAACCGCUGCCACGUGUUCUCUGCUGACUGCCUCCCUCAGCCCAGGUGCUUCAUAAAUCUUCCCUUUGGCUCUGAAUGUCACACUCCCAGCUGCCCAGCAAGUCCCCUUAUAUGAGGUUCUACUUUCCAUAUCUGUGCAUUUCCCACCAGGCACCAAUAGCCAUUGUGACCACAAAUGUGUCUCUGCUUUAAUUCCCGACUCUCCCCCUAGAAGAUGACACUGUGGCUCCGAGAAGGAAAAUGACCUGCCCGGGUCCCACAGGCAGGAAGUUGGAGAACCAGGAUUUUAAUAACCUGUGCAUCGCACCUACUCAGUGCCAGCUUCUCUACUAAGCUCUUUACUGUACAACUUGAGAUCCUCAGCACAAGCCUACCAGGCAGCUUCUAUUAUCAUCCCCCCUUUGCUGAUAAGAAAACAAAGUGACAGAGAGGAAGACGACAAACUCAGGGCCUCACCAGCCAGUGGAGGGGAGAUGAGGAUGGAGAUGCUCUCCAGGAUGGUGCAGAGGCCCAGGGCCCUGGAGAACCGAUCCAUGGGGA